rnacentral:sRNA from 1 species
UUUUGAAUCGCAUAACAAGGAAGCACUACUUUACUCUUCGGGAUCUCGUUGAGGUUCUAGUUUUAUAUUCAAUCAUACACAUGACAACUACUCAUAUUUCACUCUGAAAUGCUAACCCAGAUUCUUCUUGCUCCUCAAAGCUUUGAUGGUGUAGCCUAAAUCCGUAUGAUUUUUGGUUUUGGAUCUUCUAACAAGGAAAGAUAAAUUUAGGUUCACAGCCCUGGUUGUGGUUUUACCCCUAAAACUGAAUCAUCCACCUAUCAUCUGGAGAUAUUUGAUUCCAAAACGCUUACAAAGAUUAUGCUU